UUCUAUUUCUAAAUCUUGUGUCGCUAUGGUUUGCCUAGAAACUUGUGUUUCUAUUUCUACUAGCUGGUUUUCGUAAGCUUUAACUAAACAAAAUUUACAAACUUCUAUUUCACAAUUCUUACACUUAUAUCUAAGUUCCAUGCAACGAGAGUUUCAAACUUGUAUUGUAACAUGAUUAAAUUAUAUAUUUAUUGGAUAAACUUAACUACUUUAACUUAUCAUAAAAAUGUUAUGAUUUAGUCUAAUUGAAAGAAAAGUGUACCGAUUUAUUAUAACAUCAUCACUAGUAUUAGAAAGAUACAAAUUGACAUAGAGUAAUAAUUAAUAACAUUUUCAUAAUUUCAUAGUUUAUUUCCUUUUCAGUCGGUCUUCUUCCUUUUGGUACAUUAAAUUAUU
rnacentral:lncRNA from 1 species